UACGUAGGGCGCAAGCGUUAUCCGGAAUUAUUGGGCGUAAAGAGCUCGUAGGCGGUUUGUCGCGUCUGCCGUGAAAGUCCGGGGCUCAACUCCGGAUCUGCGGUGGGUACGGGCAGACUAGAGUGAUGUAGGGGAGACUGGAAUUCCUGGUGUAGCGGUGGAAUGCGCAGAUAUCAGGAGGAACACCGGUGGCGAAGGCGGCUCUCUGGACCGAUACUGACGCUGAGGCGCGAAAGCGUGGGGAGCAAACAGG
rnacentral:rRNA from 1 species